UACGUAGGUGGCAAGCGUUACUCGGAAUUACUAGGCGUAAAGCGCAGGUAGGCGGUCUGAAAAGUUUCUUGUGAAAGCUCCCGGCUCAACUGGGAGAGGCCAAGGAAAACUGUCAGGCUAGAGUGUGGCAGAGGAAGCUAGAAUUCCUGGUGUAGCGGUGAAAUGCGUAGAUAUCAGGAGGAAUACCUAUGGCGAAAAGCAGGCUUCUGGGCUAUCACUGACGCUGAUCUGCGAAAGCUAGGGGAGCAAACAGG
rnacentral:rRNA from 1 species